CCUACGGGAGGCAGCAGUGAGGAAUAUUGGUCAAUGGGCUUACGCCUGAACCAGCCAAGUCGCGUGAGGGAAGACUGCCCUAUGGGUUGUAAACCUCUUUUGUCAGGGAGCAACGCCGGCUACGUGUAGCCGGACUGAGAGUACCUGAAGAAAAAGCAUCGGCUAACUCCGUGCCAGCAGCCGCGGUAAUACGGAGGAUGCGAGCGUUAUCCGGAUUUAUUGGGUUUAAAGGGUGCGUAGGCGGAAUGCCAAGUCAGCGGUAAAAUCGCGGGGCUCAACCUCGCUCCGCCGUUGACACUGGCGUUCUUGAGUGGGCGAGAAGUAUGCGGAAUGCGUGGUGUAGCGGUGAAAUGCAUAGAUAUCACGCAGAACUCCGAUUGCGAAGGCAGCAUACCGGCGCCCAACUGACGCUGAAGCACGAAAGCGUGGGUAGCGAACAGGAUUAGAUACCCGAGUAGUC
rnacentral:rRNA from 1 species